UUUCCGUAGGUGAACCUGCGGAAGGAUCAUUAUUGAAUGAAACACUUCUGGCUUUAUGCUGUUGUGCUGGCCCUUUGGGCAAUGUGCACACGGCUCUGGUCACUUGUUUCUUCUGUUCCACCUGUGCACUGCCUGUAGACACGCUGUGUCUAUGAUAUUUGUUAACACACAACAAUGUUAGUUGGCAUGUUAUAUAUAAUAAUAAAAUAUACAACUUUCAACAACGGAUCUCUUGGCUCUCGCAUCGAUGAAGUACGCAGC
rnacentral:misc_RNA from 1 species